CCCAGAGUACCAGGCGGCUGGAGCACUGGGGGACACCCGGACAGAACCCUCCCUGGACCAAGUCCUGGUCCAGGAACGGGAUGAAGCCAUUGCCAAGAAGCAGGCAGUGGAGGCGGAGCUGCAGAGGUGCAAAGCCAGGCUACACGCCGUGGAGGCCCAGCUGCUGGAGGUCCUGGAGGAGAAACUGAGGCUGAGGCGGGAGCUGGAGGCCUGGGAGGAGGACGUGCAGCAGCUGGUGUGGCAGCAGGUCCAGAAUCAGCUGCAGAGAGAGGCCAAGGGUAUUCAGGGAGCCCAUGUGGACCCUGGAGCUGCCAGGACCCCCGGGUCCAGAUUCUCCCUGGGUUGGGGACGUUGGUGGUGA
rnacentral:sRNA from 1 species